AAAAAAUAGUUUUUAUUUCAAUAGUUUAAUGUGAGGGUAUUUUCAUCCUUUUAUCUCUUUACCAAUCACUAUCCUUCUUAUCCCACCUACUCCAACCAAACACUAUUUUUCUUAAUUCUGGACUAACUCCAAUUCUCAACCAAACAUAAAAAUACUCUAACCCCACCUUAACCCUGAACUUAACCCUAUCCCUGAAAUAACUAGGUUUUUCUUAACCCCGAACCAAACGGUAGCUUUUUAAGUAUUCCGGAAUAACAAACUAUCCUAGGGUUAAAAAAAUUUAUACCAAAGUUUUUAAUUCCCCA
rnacentral:lncRNA from 1 species